rnacentral:lncRNA from 1 species
AUCCUCAAAUGAUCCCUAGACGUCAAAGGGUGUGGCCGGAGCAUCCUCUAGGGCAACAUCAGGACCUAGUGAGUUUCCCUGGAGACAAGUGGAGUGAGAGCCACUCCAGGGUUCUUAGGAAGCUCCCUGGUUGGACUGGACUGGACGCAAACACGUGGGCACCUAUGUGAAGUCCCUCAGAGGAGAACCCCUACCAUGCUGACCAGGGAGCAGGCGCUCUGGGGCCUGUUACUGUUUAACAGGCUUCUGGUGUGCAGUAAUUUUCCCAGACUCGAUAGAAACUCCAACGCUCAAGUCUCAAGGGCCAAAUGCUAACAUCGGAGCACUUGUGUGGGAAACGGUUGUGAGUGGAGAAGAGGCCUCCUAAGUCUGCAUGACUCAGGGACAUGAGAGGAAGUACUCAGAGCAUCAGACGCCUAUGCCGGCAUCACCGGGGUGUGGGAGAAUUCUCUCCUCUGCAGCAGCUAUCGCAGGACUUUAAAGCUGAGGCAGGAGGACCACGAGUUUGAACUAUUUACCUGGGGACUAUAUAAUGAAACCCUGUCUCCAGAUAGAUAG